GCUUCAUAAAGAUCCUGUAAGUCACCGUUGAUUAUUAUGCACAACAUUGUUUAUGUCAUUUACAAAAUAUGCAGCGUGAUGCCAAGAGAGACUCCAAAAUAUCCUACUGUGUUUUUAUUCAUUUAUUGUGUUAUUCGUAUUCAUUAGCAGUCACGUUGGCCAUGGAUCCCCUUUGGUUUGCUUUUGCCCCCAAAACGUCUGUGCACGUGUCUCCUGCCGACUCGAUGAUGAAAUGAUGAUUAAAGGACCUGAACAGAGUCCCAGAUCGUCUCUGAGCUGCUCUGGUUCUUCUGUGUGAGGAGCAGCUUUAGCACCUGACCGGAUGCUGGUGGAGGUGUGAGGACCCGCCUCCCUCCUCUCAGCUCGUCCUCCAGCUGCUUCAGAGCUCCACUUCUGCUCGUGUUCACCAGAGGAAACACGAUGCACGCGAUGCUUUCCCUCCCUGCUGCUGCUCUGUGCGCCCUGAGUUCAGGUGAGCCGGUGGUGAAGCCCGUGGUGAGCGUGUACCCAGCAGCAUCCAGCGCCCACCUGCAGGGGAGGAGCUCCCUGCUGUGUGUGGCCUCCUCCAUGUUUCCUCCUCUGGUCCGGUUCUCCUGGAGGAGACGUGAGGAGCACGGUUCUCUGCAGGAGAAGCUCCCUGAUGAUGCAGAGCAGCUGGAGUUCACAGAGUCCGGACGCACCGCCUCCAUCUUGCUGCUCCAUCAGCAGGAGACCAGCCGCUAUCGAUACCGCUGCUACGUCCACCACGAGGGGGGAAAGGUGGAGGCCCCGAGCGAACAAGCUCCUCCGUCAGCUCCGGGCCCGUCUCCGUACCAGGUGAAGCUGCUGUGCCGGCUGUACGUCGUGCUGAUAGUGAAGAGCCUGGUGUUCUGCUGUGGAGUCUCUCUGGUGAUGGUCCUCAGGAACACGGCUCACAUGUAGGACUUCUCUCCUCAUCUCCUCCCAUCAGUUUGUCCCUCUGAUCAGCCAACAUCUGCUGAUCUUCACAUGUUGAACACCAUCAUCCUAAAGGCAUGAACACAUACAUGUGUGUAUUCUACCAAUAGUUGCAGUAGAUCCGUGUAAAUCAUUUCUCGUGUUAGUUGGAGUAUUUCUACUUAAAUAUCUGAUAUAAAACAACAUGAUGCUGAAUCAUCAGCUGUCUGUUAAAUAUUCUUCUUUUCCUUCAAAUGAAUGUCGAUUAUCUGUUUGUUGAGUUGCUUUUAUACGGAAUAUUGAUGAAGUCUGUUGAUGUUCUUUGUGUUUGUUUCUUCAUGUGUUGAACACGUUAUGAAAUAAAUAAAAACACACAGACACAAUGUUA